AGAGUUUGAUCAUGGCUCAGAGUGAACGCUGGCGGCAGGCCUAAUACAUGCAAGUCGAACGGCAGCACAGCAGAGCUUGCUCUGUGGGUGGCGAGUGGCGGACGGGUGAGGAAUACGUGGGAAUCUGCCCAGUCGUGGGGAUAACGUAGGGAAACUUACGCUAAUACCGCAUGCGCCCUUCGGGGGAAAGCCGGGGACCUUCGGGCCUGGCGCGAUUGGAUGAGCCCACGUCGGAUUAGCUAGUUGGCGGGGUAAAGGCCCACCAAGGCGACGAUCCGUAGCUGGUCUGAGAGGAUGAUCAGCCACACUGGAACUGAGACACGGUCCAGACUCCUACGGGAGGCAGCAGUAGGGAAUACUGGACAAUGGGCGCAAGCCUGAUCCAGCCAUGCCGCGUGAGUGAAGAAGGCCCUCGGGUUGUAAAGCUCUUUUGUCCGGAAAGAAAAGCGCCGGGUUAAUACCCUGGUGUCCUGACGGUACCGGAAGAAUAAGCACCGGCUAACUUCGUG
rnacentral:rRNA from 1 species